AGAGUUUGAUCAUGGCUCAGAACGAACGCUGGCGGCGUGGAUCAGACAUGCAAGUCGAACGAGGUUAGUCUGGUAGCAAUACUGGGCUGACCUAGUGGCGAACGGGUGCGUAACACGUGACCAACCUACCUGAAAGUGGGGGAUAGCUCGGCGAAAGCCGGAUUAAUACCGCAUGUGAUCGUAAGAUUAAAGCAGCAAUGCGCUUUUAGAGGGGGUCGCGGCCUAUCAGCUAGUUGGUGAGGUAAAGGCUUACCAAGGCAGCGACGGGUAGCUGGUCUGAGAGGACGACCAGCCACACUGGAACUGAGACACGGUCCAGACACCUACGGGUGGCAGCAGUCGAGAAUUUUUCUCAAUGGGGGAAACCCUGAAGGAGCGACGCCGCGUGGAGGAUGAAGGCUUUCGGGUUGUAAACUCCUGUCAUCUGGGAACAAAACUCGCAAGAGCUUGAUAGUACCAGAAGAGGAAGAGACGGCUAACUCUGUGCCAGCAGCCGCGGUAAUACAGAGGUCUCAAGCGUUGUUCGGAUUCAUUGGGCGUAAAGGGCGCGUAGGCGGUGGGGUAAGUCUGGUGUGAAAUCUCGGAGCUCAACUUCGAAAUUGCACUGGAUACUGCUCUGCUAGAGGGCUGGAGAGGAGAUCGGAAUUCACGGUGUAGCAGUGAAAUGCGUAGAUAUCGUGAGGAAGACCAGUGGCGAAGGCGGAUCUCUGGACAGCUCCUGACGCUGAGGCGCGAAGGCUAGGGGAGCAAACGGGAUUAGAUACCCCGGUAGUCC
rnacentral:rRNA from 1 species